UCUUAAUUUAAUUUAAGGUGAUUUAAGUUGACACUCAAUUGCAGUUUACUCUAGUUCUAUUUUAUUGAUGUAAGUUAGGCUGAUGUACGUGUCUGCAGCAUUGGUCCAGGGAAGCCUAAGAGAUGAAGGAGCUCAGGGCCUGGGGUGUACAAUCAAAGGUGAUGCAGUUGGGGUCAGGCAGUUCCACAGCACAUCGUCUGCAGCAUUAGUCCAGGGGAAGCUAAGAGACUCAGAGACACUCAGAGAGAGAGAGAAAUCUGGUUAGUGACUUAUAUGGGACAUAAAGAUCUGUCGGAGCGAUAAAGACAAACAGGAGCUCAGUGUGCCAGAUAACCUCGGCAAUCUAAACCUAUAGCAGCAUAACUAAGAGCUGGUUCAAAUCAGCCCCAACUAUAAGCUUUAUCAAAGAGGAACGUUUUAAGUCUACUUGUGGUGAGACGCCUCCUCAUCCUGUGUUAUUUUGGCUGGACUUCUUGUUUUUCCCUAUCUGCCUGUUCUGGCUGUGCUCUUUUCCAGGGCUUCCUCCCCUCCCCCGGCGCUGAGGCUGAGUGAGACGACACACCUGCUACUCGUCUCCAAUCAAGGGACUUUAAGAAGCCUGCAGCCCUCAGUCUCAGCGCCUGAGUAUUGUCUACCCUGCCCAGCGGUAAAGACGCGUCUCCUGGCCAAAACCUUGUGGUAUAACUUUCUGAACUUUACUCCUUGUGACUCGUUGCAUGUCCCUUAACUCCUGUCUCCUCUGGUUUCUCCUGCAGUGUCUCCAGCCCACACGACAGCCAGCCUACCAGCCAACCAACCGGACUUCCUUUGUUCCCUUAUCUAUCCCUUUCUGUUUUUGGACAUUAAAAUCGUUUUACGUUGAGCUCUGUCUCAGUGUCUGCUUCUGGGUCCUCACUACAAGCCUGCCGCACAACAGAAUACUCAGGCCAGGAGAAUGGACCCAACAGACCCAGACCGAGUUCAGCUAGCCGUCCAGAAGCUCGGCACGCGGAUUGGCCAACAUGAGGAGAUGCUCCAGAGUCUCCAUCAGUCGCUUCAUGGCCUCUCCAUUCAAAUGUCGCAGCUGGCGGAGCAACUACUCCCUCGGCCUCCACCACAACAACCAGGAUUCCCCCCCUCUGUGAGUACAGUCCCCUCUUCACCUCCUCCACCACCCGCUACCCUCAAAGAGCCCUAUGUCCCUCCUCCUGAGCCGUAUGCUGGGGAGAUUGGGGGCUGCAGAGGUUUCCUGCUUCGUUGCGCCUUAGUAUUUGACCAACAGCCCAUUAGCUAC